UUGCUAUAUAUAACUUGCUUUUACUUAUAUGUUUAUAAAAAAUUCAGUCUGUGGCCUUCAAAAGCAACCCUGCUCAGUUUUUCUCUUUAGAACUUUUUCUUGGCUUCUGCCAAGAAAAUUGGAAUAUUGCAAGAUAUUCCAAAUUCUUGCUUUGUUUUUCUACCUCAAUACCAAUUGUUGCCUAAAAGAUGAAUGCUCUAUGAUGUCAGAGGCAACCUCAGUUCAUUUAUCUUGGAGACAGGACCAAAGUUCUGACUUAGCUGUCUCAGGAAACAAAGGUCGUUUUCUCUCUGUAUCCCAGGACAUGGUCCUUCUCUCAGGAGAGAACACUAUUUUGAAAAGGGGCUAACUCUAUAGCCUGCUGAACCUCCCUCUAAAGAGGAAACAUAACUAAAUCAACCUUGUGAUAGUUCAAAUUGGAUUAUCCAAUUCUGAUCUUCAGGGUCUUGAAAUACCCUGAUUCUACUUGGUCAUCCCAUUUGAUACCAACUCUGCAACUGUGAAAGAGGUUAGUCUAGUUUGGGAUAAGGAUCAUCAAAUGGAAUGGGUGUGCUGUUUAGCAGGAUGUCAGCUGCUUGGGAAAACCAGACAGAACCAUUGUGGGAAAAAAUAGAGCAUCAUUUGAAUUCUAAGCCAAUGUCCCACCUCAACCAACCCAUAGGCAGGACAUGUCUCAAACAACCACUCAUAGUAACACAGUUUCCAAACUCUCAAAAAACUGUACUAAUGCCAUCUCUUAAUCCAAAGGAGAACUCAAAAAAAUUGACCUGCCCUGGCAAGUCGUAUACUAUGUCAGACUUGCCCUUAAAACGUUGCCCUAGUAACCAGUCCCAUAUGGAGCCUUUCUCAGGACCUGGGCACUACCAGAACAUUUUAGUUGACCACAAUCACCAAACAGCUGAGGCCCAACAGACUCAGAUCCCAUCUGUACGUGGACACAGAGGUAAAGUUAAACAUAAAGUCCCCAUGAAGAAAGACUUCAAAGUCUUACCUGAGCACAAUGUGCCAAAGGGGACAACUCUAAAUGCUCUUGUAAGAAGUUUAAACUUUGCCUCCAAAUCUAAAAUUAUCUCAGCAUGUUUUUCUGAGUCUUUACCUAAAGCUAAUGGUUUAAAACCAUUAAACCAUGACUGGACUAAGGAAAGAGAAAUGAGAAAAUCUCUUUCUGGGCCCCAAAUUCCCACUUUUUCUCUUUGUAAUAAUGUUACCGAUGCAAGAAAUGCCCAUCCUUCCUACCCCACACAGUGGCCUACUCCCACUACAGAUAAACCACCACAUGAUAUAGACGAAUUAAUAUCAGCCCUGGGAUUAGAAACACCAAAAUUUGGACCAUGGCAACAUGCAGAAAAGGAGAAUUUUUCAGAUUUCCAACAAUGGGCCAAGUGCUCUUCUACAUGCCUGAAGUACCGUUGCAUGUACUGUAUGCCAAUGGAUACGUUUGCAUCAUGACAAUCCCUCAGUCUAACCAGAGCUCUACCAAGCUAAAGUCAGCAAAUUGAGAAUAUGUAUAAGCCAGAGAUAAAGCGUCAGUCCACAAUGUUAGCCUGUAUACAGGUUUAUACAAUUGGACCGAGAUGUUCCACUGACCUCAUCUACCUGAGUCAUCAUGAACACCCGUGUAUCUCUUCAUUGUUUCAUCUCCUAAAUAGGCUAUCAUCAAACAUAGCUGAAACUAUGCAGCACCCUGAGAACAUCAGGCCACUUUGUAAAAGUGCUUGAGCACUCACGUGUGCAAAACUGCAGACAGGCAGGGAAACUGAAGAAACGCUGUGCCCUGAGCACACCAGGCCUUUCUCUAAUGAAACCUGACCACCACCUUUUGGACAUGCAAAAACCAGACUCUGACAAGCAAGCUUAAGGACCUCCAAGCAUCUCUCCAAUGAACCUAGACCAUCUGAACAUUUCACAACUGGACUGAAAUCAGCAUGUCAGGAGGCAAUCCCAGGCUACCUUCUCACUAAUACUGACUACUAUUUAAAUGUGUCCUCUGUCCCACACAGAAUUCAUUUUUAAUAAGUCUCAUUCACUGACCACAAAUAUGCCCCCGAACCCCUUUUAUUGAGUUUGAUAUUACUCCUCUCUAACAUUCCCAUCUCCUUGGCAGGUCUCAGGGUGGCUGAUUGUUUUUAAUUUUUAUAUGUGACAAAAAUAUUUUAGAGCCCAUGAGCGUGAUAUAUCUGUGAAUCUAUUAUACAUAGAUUGUAUAUAGUUCUAUUUUAUGUGUAUAUAUAUCUACCAUUUAUAAUAGCUUGCUUUUACUUUUAAGUAUAUAAAGGAUUUAAUCUGUAACUUUUAAAAGCAAUCCUGCUUGUCUUUUUUCUCCCUAAAUUUUCUUCUCCUGUACAUUUCACAAAAUAUUCUAAAGACUGUUUUUUUUUCUUUUUUCAUAUUACUAUUUUUAACUCCUUGUUCUACCCAACUUAGUACCUUCCCUCUACCCCAAACCUAGAGCAUUGGGGGAGAAGGCAGAAUAAAUACAAUCAUUAUUACA
rnacentral:lncRNA from 1 species